GUUCCACUUUCCAGACUGCUGCCAGAGGAAAUUUUCAAAAUGCAACCAUGGUCACAUCACCUUCCACUCUCAGCUUCUUACCUCCCAAAGGCUUCAUUCUCUUACAGCUGGGUGUCUCAACCUCAGCGCUAUUGACGUUUGAGCCUCGUAAUUCUCUACUAGGGGGGCAACCUGUGACUAUAGGAUGUUUAGCAAGCUGGCCUCUACCCACUAGAUGCCAGUAGGACCCUGCCUGCUCCUGCCAAGUUGGGACAGCCAAAAAUGUUUGCAGACAUCACCAAAUGGCCCCUAGAAAGAUUGCCUCUCCUCCACGCUGCUCCCUUCCCAGGGACUUUGCACCUCCCAGCCCUCCCUGAGGAGCCUCUCCCGGCCUCCCUUGCCUCUUCACCAUCCUUCAGACCUCAGCUCGAUGGUGACUUUUCAAUGUCAGCCAUUCUGGGCCGGGCAGGGAGUUGAUAAUGUGGCUGGGGUUGGAGACGAAGAGGCCCCCUUCCUCCUCUGGCAGCUGAUGGGGCAAGAGCAUGACAACAGCAAGAGCAUCAUAUAUGGGGGGCCAAGUGCUUUAUAUCCAUCAUCUCAUUCCCCCCGUGAGAACUCUGUCAAGUGGGCACCUCUGUGUGGGAUUUGAGGAUGAGCCAGGUAAGGAAUCUGCCAAAGGGCACACAGCUAGUAACCGUGUGGAGUGCCGAUUUGGCUGUCUGGGCUCAGAAUUCCAGGGCAAGUCAUUUAAUCUCUCAGGUCUUAGUUUCCUAUCUGGAAAAUGAAAGCAUUUAAAGCCUCCCUGUAUCAUUAUUGGGAAGAUUGGAGAAAGGAUGUAUAGUACCUAGCACACAGCAUGUAGUACAUGCUCACUAGAUGACGCCUGCGAUGGUGAUGAUGGGAUGAUGGCGGUGAUGGUGAUGGGCUGAUGGUGAUGCUGGCAAUGGUGAUGAUGGUGGUGAUGGUGAUGAUGAUGGUGGUGAUGAUGGUGAUGGUGAUGGCAGUGGUGGUGGUGAUGAUGAUGGUGAUGAUGGUAAUGGGGAUGGUGACGGUGAUGACGAUGGGAUGAUGGUGGUGAUGGUGAUGAUGGCAAUGGUGAUGAUGGUGGUGACGGUGAUGAUGGCAAUGGUGAUGGUAAUGAUGUUGGUGAUCGUUAUCAUGGUGACGAGGAGGACAGUGAGAUGCCAAAUUAUUGAACUAUUUCUAGACCUAGGCUUGCUGACCCUCAUCCACCCCCUAAAAGGGCGUUUUGCCCCACAGAUAAAUAUGGAGGAAUGUUCUUUUGCUCCCUGAGUAUAUCAGUGUCGUGUGGCUGCCGUAACAAGUUGCCGCUAACCGGGUGCUUAAAGCAGCAGAAACUUAUUCUCUCAAAGUCCUGGAGGCCAGAAGUCAAAAAUUAAGGUGCUGGCAGUGUCGGUUCUUUCUGGAGACUCUGAGGGGGAAACAGCCCAUACUCCUCCCCCAGCUUGCGGGGGUUGCCAGCCUUCCCUGGAGUUCCUUGGCUUGUGGCCGCAUCUCUCCAGUCUGCCUCUGUCUUCACACGGCCUUCCCCUCUGUGUGUCUCUGUGUGACCUCUUCUGUCUCUUAUAAGGACAGCCUCCUUGGGUUUAGGGCCGAGCCUAAUCCAAGAUAAUCCUAUUUCUAUCCUUAGCUUAACUGUAUCUGCAAACACCCUGUUUCCAAAUAAGGCCACGUUCUGAGGUCCCAGGUGGACAUGAAUUUGGGGGGGGGGGCACUAUGCAGCCCACUACACUGAGGUGGGUCAGCAGCAGUCCAAGGAAAUGACAUGGACGUGUCGUGCCCCCACCCGUCAGGCGCCCAGGACACUGCUGACGGCCCUUUCGGCUCCCCGCGCUCACUGGACCGCUGUCACCGCAGCUCCUGUUUGGUGCUGUGGAAGCUCGGGUGGACUCAUGCGAGGCACGUCUUUGAACCUCCAAGGGUGAUGACUCACCGGGAGUCGUUCUGGCGUGUGCCCGGCCAGGGAGCAGAUGGGCGGACCCAGCCCUGGAGCCCCCGGGUGGGUGGGCGCCUCUGAGGAGCAGGAGUGCACAGCUCAGGGCCCACCAGCCCACCUCCAAGGAGCGUGUGAGCCUCGGAGCCUGUGCGAGGAGACCAUGUCGGGCUGGUGGGCUGCUUUCGCCUUUUCCUUUCCUUGCUUUAGAUGAAAAGUUGGAAAAGAAAGUCGGAGUUUGCCAUCCUUGCAGGCAGGCUGCAACACGUGGAGGGAGCUGAGCCCAUUGUGUUGGUUUCCCGGCAGCGUUUGGAGAAUUCAGACCUGCACGUUGACAUCCCUAUGGUCCAGGCUUUGGAAGUCUCCAGAAGUUCUCCUUUCUGCUGGGGUCCUGACCUCAGGGUCUGGGGCGUGCAGAGGCUCUGGGAGCCAAUGGAAGUUGGCGAUGCUUCAGACAAAAGCAGAUGAUCUCUUUGCAAAGGCACCUUUCCUUUGUAAAAAUGGAAUUUGUUGGUUUUAUUAGUCAGAAAGACAAAUGUGAGUGGGCAGAAGGGGAUGAUUGAGUGUCUCCUCCAUGGGGUAACACGAAUGGAAAUGUACAGUUUUAGUGCCUCUGAUAAUGAUGCUGAGGAGAAGAAAAUAGGAAGAAGGGAGGGAGGGGGGUAGGAGGGGAGAAGGAGAGAGAAAAAGGAGAGAGAGAAAGAAGGAAAGAGUAAAGAAGACCAAAAGAUCAGGAAACAAUGAAAGAAAAAAGGGAAAGAAGAAAAGAAGAGAGAGUCAUGCCAAGGAGAUGAUAUUUAAGCAGAAAACUGUCUGGGCCAUGGAAGGCUCCGGGGGGCGAGCAGUGCAGGCCGGGGUGCACAUGCCAAGGCCCUGGAGGUGAGAGAAGCGUGACUGAGCCUGGUGGGUCUGGGAGAUGAGGACAAGACCAGUUUGGAAUGGGCUCCCUCUGGACCACAAGCCCAAAUUCCUAUGGGGGCCAGGCAGGAAGAUGAGGCAGGCCGAGGGGGGACGUGGCCACGUGGUGCGCACCCGCUGCCUGGAAGGCUGGCAGCCACUCCUCGGCUCCACCCAGGGGCUCCACCUGGGCAUGUGGGCUCCAUGGUGCCAGGUCUUCGCUUUAUGAGAGAGCAGGAAUGCAGAUUGUUGUGUGAGAUCUCACGUCUUUUAGAUGCUGGCUUCAAAUUUAGACACAGAAGGGAGACUUUGUGGACCGAACAGGGACUGUGGGCUGGGCUCGACUCCGGGCCACUCCUUUGCAAUGCUGGGACUUGCUUCAGGCCUCUGACCGAUGUGGACCGCGGACUUGGUCAUUAAGGGCUAUUCUGGAGCACACCCGCUGUCUCUCUUGGUCCAUCUCCAGCAGAGCCGGGCCGAGUCGCAGGAACAACGUGCUUCUCCAUCUGUGAAGCUGCCGAGGGACUGAAUCCAAAUAAGGGCACAGCCAGGAAGAAAAGGGUGUGUCUUCCUUCAAAAGUCUUGAAUAAAGGAAUCCUUUUCAGGGCCUGAAAAGACCAGUGUUGAAGUGAGUGGCAGCCUGUCCAGGCAGGUCUGCGUGCACAGUGACCUCUUACGGGAGGGCGGUUUGCCGCCCGAAAGCUCGCUGCUCCGCCCGCGGAGGAAUCUCCUCCAGCAGAAUCUGACACAUUAGGCUGCCGUCUCUGCUUUGAUGCUGCAGAAAUUAGUCCUUAACCUUUCUGAGGGGAUUAUGAGCAGGGCCCUGCUGGGCACGUCUGGCUCCUCCUUGCCUCCAGCGUGCAGACCUAAAGCUCGUCCUGGAAAGAGAGGCUGCACCAGGUGUAUCAGCGAGCGGGGGAAUUCAUUUUCACGUAAGAGGUGAUCCGAGUCUAGCUGAGUGGCAGAAAGUCAACCAAGUCAGGACUCUUGGUUGCAAGUGACAGAAAGGAAACUCAAACUGGGUUAAACAAACAAACAAAAGAAGGCAACGCGGACGGACCUUGAGGGCAUUAUGCUAAGUGAAAUAUGUCAGAGAAAGACAAAUACUGUAUGAUGUCCCUUAGAUGUGGAAUCUGAAGAAACCAAAUUCAUGGUAAAGAGAUGAGAUUUGUGGUUGCCAGAGGCAGGGGGUAAAGGGUGCAGAAAAUGUGUAAAGAGGGACAAACAGUCCAAGCCUCUGAUUUUGUUUUUUGUUUUCCUUUUUCUGAAGCUGUCAUGCAUGCAGGGUUUAAAGCAAGAGUCACAACCUCACAUGCCCACAGGCAGGUGUCCUCACAUUCACGAGGUAGGCUUCAGAAGCAGAGAGGCAA
rnacentral:lncRNA from 1 species